CUCUACUGUUAUCUGACCAACUGCUGCUCAACCUAACUUACCUGCUGCUGCAAUUAUUUAUUCUGCUCUGUACAGCAGGCAAGUUAGGUUGAGCAGCAGUUGGUAAAAUA